AACGACAGAAAGAACUUAGAGCUAAUACGCAAAGUCGGGGAUCAUAAAAACGGACCGAAAGAACUCAGAGCUAAUACGCAAAGUCGGGGAUCAUAAAAACGUACCGAAAGAACUUAGAGCUAAUACGAAAAGUCGGGGAUCAUAAAAACGGCCCGAAAGAACUUACAGCUAAUACUCAAACUCGGGGAUCAUAAAAACAGACCGAAAGAACUUAGAGCUAAUACGCAAAGUGGGGGAUCAUAAAAACGGACCCAAAGAACUUAGUGCUAAUACGCAAAGUCGGGGAUCAUAAAAAAGGACCAAAAGAACUUAGAGCUAAUACGUAAAGUCGGGUAUCAUACAAAGGACCAAUAGAACUUAGAGCUAAUAUGAAAAGUUGGGGAUCAUAAAACGACCGAAAGAACUUAAAGCUAAUACGCAAAGUCGGGGAUCAUAAAAACAGACGUGGAAUUUAGAGCUAAUAUUCAAAGUCGUGGAUCAUAAAAACAGACCGAAAGAACUUAGAACUAAUACGUAAAGUCGGGGAUCAUAAAAAUGGACCGAAAGAACUUAGAGCUAAUACGCAAAGUCCGGGAUCAUAAAAACGGACCAAAAGAACUUGGAGCUAAUACGUAAAGUCGGGGAUCAUAAAAGCGGACCGAAAGAAUUUAGAGCUAAUACGCAAAGUCGGGGAUCAUAAAAAGGGACCGAAACAUCUUAGAGCAAAUACGCAAAGUCAGGGAACAUAAAAAGGGACUGAAAGAACUUAGAGCUAAUACGCAAAGUCGGGGAUCAUAAAAAGGGACCGAAAGAACUUAGACCUAAUACGCAAAGUCAGGGAUCAUAAAAACCGACCGAAAGAACUUAGAGCUAAUAUGCAAAGUCGGGGAUCAUAAAAAGGGACCGAAAUAACUUAGAGCUAAUACGCAAAGUCGGGGAUCAUAAAAAGGGACCGAAAGAACUUAGAGCUAAUAUGCAAAGUCGGGGAUCAUAAAAACGGACCGAAAGAACUUAGUGCUAAUACGCAAAGUCAGGGAUCAUAAAAACCGACCGAAAGAACUUAGAGCUAAUACGCAAAGUCGGGGAUCAUAAAAACCGACUAAAAGAACUUAGAGGUAAUACGGAAAGUCGGGGAUCAUAAAAACGGACCGAAAGAACUUAGAGCUAAUACGCAAAUUCGGGGGAUCAUAAAAACGGACCGAAAGAACUAAGAGCUAAUACGCAAAGUCGGGGAUCAUAAAAACGGACCAAAAGAACUUAGAGCUAAUACGCAAAGUCGGGGAUCAUAAAAACCGACCGAAAGAACUUAGAGCUAAUACGCAAAGUCGGGGAUCAUAAAAAUGACCGAAAGAACUUAGAGCUAAUACGUAAAGU
rnacentral:lncRNA from 1 species